rnacentral:rRNA from 1 species
CCUACGGGAUGCACCAGUGGGGAAUAUUGCACAAUGGGCGCAAGCCUGAUGCAGCCAUGCCGCGUGUAUGAAGAAGGCCCUAGGGUUGUAAAGUACUUUCAGUCGGGAGGAAGGCGUUGAUGCUAAUAUCAUCAACGAUUGACAUUACCGACAGAAGAAGCACCGGCUAACUCCGUGCCAGCAGCCGCGGUAGUACGGAGGGUGCAAGCGUUAAUCGGAAUUACUGGGCGUAAAGCGCACGCAGGCGGUUGAUUAAGUUAGGUGUGAAAUCCCCGGGCUUAACCUGGGAAUGGCAUCUAAGACUGGUCAGCUAGAGUCUUGUAGAGGGGGGUAGAAUUCCAUGUGUAGCGGUGAAAUGCGUAGAGAUGUGGAGGAAUACCGGUGGCGAAGGCGGCCCCCUGGACAAAGACUGGCGCUCAGGUGCGAAAGCGUGGGGAGCAAACGGGAUUAGAUACCCUCGUAGUC